rnacentral:tRNA from 5 species
CGGGCCAUAGCGCAGCUUGGUAGCGCACUUGACUGGGGGUCAAGGGGUCGCGGGUUCAAAUCCCGCUGGCCCGACGA